AUUGAACGCUGUCGGCAGGCCUAAUACAUGCAAGUCGAACGAGUGGCGGACGGGUGAGUAAUGUCUGGGAAACUGCCUGAAGGAGGGGGAUAACUACUGGAAACGGUAGCUAAUACCGCAUACCAUCGGAUGUGCACAGAUGGGAUUGGCUAGUAGGUGGGGUAACGGCUCACCUAGGCGACGAUCCCUAGCUGGUCUGAGAGGUUGACCAGCCACCCUUGAGCUGAGACACGGUCCAGACGCCUACGUGAGGCAGCAGUGGGGAAUAUUGCACUAUGGUCGCGAGCCUGAUGCAGCCAUGCCGCGUGUAGUAAGAAGGCCUUCGGUUUGUAAAGUACUUUCAGCGGGGAGGCGUUACCCGCAGAAGAAGCACCGGCUAACUCCGUACCAGCAGCCGCGGUAAUUC
rnacentral:rRNA from 1 species